AUGAGCCCAAAAGAGCAUGAUAUAUUGAAGGAGAAAGUGGAGGAAUUGCUGCAAAAGGGGCACAUUCGAGAAAGUAUUAGCCCAUGUGCUGUACCAGCCCUGCUCGCGCCAAAGAAAGAUGGGUCUUGGCGCAUGUGUACGGAUAGUAGAACCAUUAACAAGAUCACCGUAAGGUAUAGAUUCCCUAUUUCCCAUCUGGAUGAUAUGUUGGGCCAACUUAGUGGAGCAAGAGUGUUCACAAAGCUGGAUUUAAGAAGUGGAUAUCAUCAAAUCCGUAUUAGACCCGGGGAUGAAUGGAAAACAGCCUUCAAGACAAAAGAAGUGCUGUUUGAAUGGCUAGUCAUGCCAUUUGGGCUCUCAAAUGCACCAAGAACCUUUAUGCACUUGAUGAAUCUAGUCCUUCGACCCUUCUUAUCCCACUUUGUUGUGGUCUAUUUCGAUGACAUCUUGAUCUAUAGCAAAGAUGGGGAUGAACACUUUGAUCACAUUCCAAAGGUGCUAGAAGUACUAAGGGAAAAUGAGCUCUACGUCAACUUAAAGAAAUGUGUUUUCCUGCAAACACAACUUCUUUUCCUAGGAUUCAUCAUAGCAUGUGACGGUAUUCGUGUUGAUGACUCAAAGGUUGAAGCAAUCCGAGAAUGGCCAACUCCGAAGACCAUUUCUGAGGUAAGAAGUUUUCAUGGCCUUGCAACUUUCUAUAGGCGACCUGUGAAGAAUUUUAGCACUAUCAUGGCAUCAAUUACCGAGUGCCUGAAGAAAGGAAAGCUUCAAUGGACAGAGCGGCUGAAGCUAGUUUCAAUGAGAUUAAGCAAAAACUUCAGCAAGCUCCUGUAUUAG
rnacentral:rRNA from 1 species